AAUAAUACAACUAAAUAAAUAAGAAUUAUUUUUAACAUUUUUAAGAUCGAGACCUUUCCCACUCAUUGCCACCAAUUGUAAGGGGAGCCCUCAAGGAAAAUAAUCUAUUAUGUUGUCGAAGUUAUAAAAGCUUUUAAUAUCAAAAUGGCCCCGGAAUGUUUUACUUUUUCAGUAGGCGGCCCUCAGUGGAAAAAGUUUGGGUAAAAAUGGAACUUUAUGCGUACUAAUUAAGUCAUUUCAAAUGAAGGCGGCACAUCAAACAUUUUGGACCGGCUGUCAUAAACCACGUGACUAAGACGAUUGGUUGUCGUGAGUCACGUGACUUGCCCAGGAUAUGGCCUCCCCACAGGCGGCGUGUCAGGUUCACAAAUUCCUCAGUAAAUUCACCAAAGCGUCACCAUGGAGCUAUCGAGUCUGUUUAGCUGAUUGGAGAGCUAGCUUCUGCAGCGAGUGGGUCCAUGGUGAUGACUGCUGUUUUGUUUGACCAGCCGUUUUACUGCCAUGUUACAGACACCGUUUGGAAACAAUGAAGUGCAGACAACCAGUACCAGUGGCGUGCCAAAGAAAGAGAAGCCCAUCCAUCCAUUUGUCCACCGUCCUAAUUAGCCGGACCACGCUGACAGGAUGCUGACGGAUCACAUCAAACACACAGGCACUUUGUAGAGAAGAGAAGGCUGCUAGUUGACAGCAAGUGGAAGCUUGAAGGAGGGAUGUGAAGACGGUAGGAGUCAUGGAGGAAAGAAGAAGAUGGAUGUAGGAGUGGGUGUUGCAGGAGAUGGUGUCAUCAAACUACUUCUCCGCACACGUGAUUGUUGUCCUCUUGCAUCUUUACAACGCCACUUUAAGAGUCAAACGGCUUUUACGACGCCGGAAAAGAAAACCUCGCCGCCAUUAAAGUCUGUGUGCACGUAAACAUGGCCGACAAAACCGCAUCAAUAACACGUCAUCCGUAGCAAUAUCAAUUGUAAUAAUAAUAGCAUCUUUCCAUCAAUUGUAUUUUUUUUUCGUCAGAGUUGCAUGAACAAAGGCACUCGCUCUCUGGUAACCGAGCGAUACAGGAAGUGAUUAGUGAUCAGUAGGCGUAACUGUAUCAGCUAUCAAGUUUGGUUGAUUCUCUGCAUGGAGUGAGAAGAGGAAGUCAAAAUGAAAAAAUUGUGGAUGAAAGAGGAAAAUUCUCCUGGACAGUUUUUUGAUUUUUUUUUUUUUCAAAAGGGAGCAUAGUCAGACCAAUGUGGUCUGUAAAUGAUGCAAGACAAGACCGCUAAUACCACUUCACCUUAGCCGCGCUCACCCUUUAGAGCACAGCUGUAACUUCCUGCCAUUAAACCUGCAGAAAAUACUUUUUGUCAGGUUUUUCUCGAUGUAAUUUUUUUCACACUUUGCCCUAUUUUAUUACACUUUAUUAAGCAUUUCUUACAUAUUGCUAAUUAGUGCACCUUCAAUUUAACAAGGUGUUCAAUUUGAUUUGACUAUUUUGUUGACAUUGAUUUAAACUACCUUAAAUCCCGGAAUAAAAGCCCCAGCUUCUUUCUAUUGUUAAAGUACAAAUAUUUGUCACAUUCACACACUAGGUGUGGUGAAAUUUGUCCUAAGCAUUUGACCCAUCCCCUUGUUCACCCCCCGAGAGGUGAGGGGAGCAGUGAGCGGCAGCGGUGGCCGCGCCCGGGAAUCAUUUUUGGUAAUUUAACCCCCAAUUCCAACCCUUGGUGCUGAGUGCCAAGCAGGGAGGUAAUGGGUCCCAUUUUUAUAGUCUUUGGUAUGACUCUGCCGGGGUUUAAACUCACAACCUACCCAUCUCAGGGGGGGCACUCUAACCACUAGGCCACUGAGUAGGUUGUUUUGAACUCUGCGGUUUUAAAAUGGUGCGGCUAAUUUAUGGAUUUUUUUCCCACUAGCGACCAUAAAAAAAUAUAUUUUUUUUAAAAAGCAAAAAUUGCUGAAGUGUUUUAUUGUAUUUUUUAAAUUCUUUUGGACGAGUCCCUCACUGCAGUUAUGCCGGUGUCCUUCCUGUUGUGCUUUUUGAAUGUAAUGAAACUAGCGUCAAUGGCAUUAGCUUGAUACGUUUAUUAGUAGAUUGCACAGUACAAUACAUAUUCCAUACAAUUAACACCCCAAUAAGUUUUUCAACUUGUUUAAGUCGGGGUCUAUGUUAAUCAAUUCAUGUUUAAUGAGCUAAUAUGCUAACAGGUUCAUGAGUGUCUGUGUUAGUAUUAAUAACUUACAAUGGCAUUCUGUUUAUAUUGUUUCAGUUUCACAAAUUCCUCAGUAAAUUUACCAAAACGUCA